AGGUCAAAGGAUCACUUGCAUCACCCCCACUAGAGAACCAUCUGUCGACGUGCUGUAAGGCUCCAUCAGAUGUUCUUCUAGUGGAUUAGUUCAGUGAACUCAUUCUCUAAUGAGCAUCUACAUCUUUGUAUUAGUAUCACCACAUAAGUGAUUGUGAGAUCAAUCACCCUCUCCAUCGAGCAUACAUAGGAUGUACCAAUCUUAUCGGCAUCAUCGAUCCCCAACUCGAUGAUCCAAUGAUUGGAAAUAUUUUAGAUUAGGGCUAUCAAGAUUUUAGGUCUCACUGGCAUGAUCUCAUCAUGGUCCUAAAAUCAUUAUCCUAAUCUAUGGGGUUUAUCAAUAUCCAAACUUGCCACAAAAUAAACAGCUAAUAUCCAUAUGGACAUCUUUUGCCUUCUUAUUAGCACUGACCAAUCCAAGAUCUGAAAUAUCCAAAACAUCGGAGUUCUUCUUCGAUAUAAACCUAACUUGCAAGUUUCUCAACACAUCCACAUAGUUGAGAUCGAUCAACAAAGUUUUUAUUUAUGGUGUUAUGCAGUGAAAAUAAAGA
rnacentral:lncRNA from 1 species